ACAUGAGCCACAGCUUCAGACAGUCUACACGGCGGCCACACUGCACCACCUUGUCACCCGUGUCCAGAGCCACAUGGUAGAACUUGUCCUGCGGGAAGAGGUAGCUGGCCUGGAAUCCAUGGCAGCGCCUGAGCAGGUUCGAGGUAUCCUGGAGAAGAGCAGAGCACUGCAGUCCUGCAGCGAGGAGCUUGUGGGGGUUCCAGGCCACGGAGUCAGCCAUCCGCGUGCAACCACAGUCCGUGACGCUGGCACACAUCGGCAAUUGCAUCCACCGGGUCAAAGGCUCCCAACACGGUGGUGCCAGAUGUGGCACUGACCAGGAACGGCAGAGCACCCUCAGCUUCAGCCAGACUGAUCCGCCUCUCCAAAUCCUCAGGGAUCAUUUUCCCUCUCGGUCCCGGCGGGGACGCAGCGGCCGCAGGGUUGGCAGGGAGUGCUGGGGCCUGGAGGAGGCGCCGCGCGUCUGGGGAGGCAGCGGGAAGUCGUGCCUGGCAGAAUGUGGAAAGUCUACAAUGCAGAAGGGCUUUAACCUGCCAAAUGAUUUUAAAUACUUCCCCCUGCGCAGAGCUGUAUGCAUCCUGCCAAGCUGCAUUAUAAUCUGUACUGGGUACAAUAAAAAGGUUUGCUUUUUGUUUAAAAUAAAUAAAUAAAUAAAUAUUCUUAACAAAUGGAAAAAGGUAAUUUUUUUGAAAAAAAAAUUUUUCUUGAUAUAGUUCUCUUAAAGAAUUGGGAAUGUAGCAAUUCAAUGUAAGUGUAAGAGAGCAUAAGAAGGUUUAAGUUCACAUUUUU
rnacentral:lncRNA from 1 species